rnacentral:lncRNA from 1 species
GGAAGACUAAUUUACGGCUAGCCACAGCAGUGGUCCGAGUAAGGAGGCCCCCAUUUCAGGCCCUGGCUUCCAGAAUACACUUCUAGAUACAACCUAGGCCAGAAGGAAAAUCACUGCCUUGAAGGAAAGGACCCAGUCCUGCCAGGAUUAAUCACCUGCUAACUGAAGAGCCCUUGGGCCCUGAAUAACCAGCAGCCAUACCCAGUACCACAAGGAGUUCUGGACACAGAAUUGAUGUCUCCUCAGCAUCGGAUGAAUCUGCAGACAGAAUGCACUUGGCUCUCCAGAAUUCCAGCUGGGAAAAAGAAACAAGGUCUUGCUAUAUUUCCCAGGCUGGUCUUGAACUUCUGGCCUCAAGUGAUCGUCCUACCUCAGCCUCCCAAAGUGCUGGGAUUACAGUUGUGAGCCAUUACACCCAGCCAGCUAAUUUUAAUUUUAUACAGACUUUCAAUAACUCUGUCUUCACUUCUGCAUUAGAUGAAUUGGGAGUUUUAUAGUUAAAACCUGGGAAAAAAUUGAUAAUUAAUAAGGCUGUGUACAAAAGUACUGACUAAAUUUAUGAUUUAUUUUACCAAAUAUAUUUGUAUACUUGUAUAUCUAUAUGUGUGUGUAUAUCUGUAUUUUAUGUCAUAUAAAAUGUUAUCUUGCAUAAUUAUAUGCAAGAUAGCCUCAGACCUGUAAACAUAUACAGGUAGAAAAGAAAUGAGAAGCUUUUAUGGACUGAUUAAUGCAAAUAUAUGGAAUGCCAGGAAAAUAGUAGUGACUGAUAGCAGUUACAGUAGCCUUCAAUGGUAGCUGGAUAUUUCAAUGAAGC